rnacentral:rRNA from 1 species
GGCGACGAUCUGUAGCGGGUCUGAGAGGAUGAUCCGCCACACUGGGACUGAGACACGGCCCAGACUCCUACGGGAGGCAGCAGUGGGGAAUAUUGGACAAUGGGGGGAACCCUGAUCCAGCCAUGCCGCGUGUGUGAAGAAGGCCUUUUGGUUGUAAAGCACUUUAAGUGGGGAGGAGGCUUACCUGGUUAAUACCUGGGCUAAGUGGACGUUACCCACAGAAUAAGCACCGGCUAACUCUGUGCCAGCAGCCGCGGUAAUACAGAGGGUGCGAGCGUUAAUCGGAUUUACUGGGCGUAAAGCGCGCGUAGGUGGCUAAUUAAGUCAAAUGUGAAAUCCCCGAGCUUAACUUGGGAAUUGCAUUCGAUACUGGUAGGCUAGAGUAUGGGAGAGGAUGGUAGAAUUCCAGGUGUAGCGGUGAAAUGCGUAGAGAUCUGGAGGAAUACCGAUGGCGAAGGCAGCCAUCUGGCCUAAUACUGACACUGAGGUGCGAAAGCAUGGGGAGCAAACAGGAUUAGAUACCCUGGUAGUCCAUGCCGUAAACGAUGUCUACUAGCCGUUGGGGGAUUUGAUCCUUUAGUGGCGCAGCUAACGCGAUAAGUAGACCGCCUGGGGAGUACGGUCGCAAGACUAAAACUCAAAUGAAUUGACGGGGGCCCGCACAAGCGGUGGAGCAUGUGGUUUAAUUCGAUGCAACGCGAAGAACCUUACCUGGCCUUGACAUAGUAGAAACUUUCCAGAGAUGGAUUGGUGCCUUCGGGAAUCUACAUACAGGUGCUGCAUGGCUGUCGUCAGCUCGUGUCGUGAGAUGUUGGGUUAAGUCCCGCAACGAGCGCAACCCUUUUCCUUACUUGCCAGCAUUUCGGAUGGGAACUUUAAGGAUACUGCCAGUGACAAACUGGAGGAAGGCGGGGACGACGUCAAGUCAUCAUGGCCCUUACGGCCAGGGCUACACACGUGCUACAAUGGUCGGUACAAAGGGUUGCUACACAGCGAUGUGAUGCUAAUCUCAAAAAGCCGAUCGUAGUCCGGAUCGCAGUCUGCAACUCGACUGCGUGAAGUCGGAAUCGCUAGUAAUCGCGGAUCAGAAUGCCGCGGUGAAUACGUUCCCGGGCCUUGUACACACCGCCCGUCACACCAUGGGAGUUUGUUGCACCAGAAGUAGGUAGUCUAACCGCAAGGAGGACGCUUACCACGGUGUGGCCGAUGACUGGGGUGAAGUCGUAACAAGGUAGCC